rnacentral:rRNA from 1 species
GAUCUGGUUCAGGAUGAACGCUAGCGACAGGCUUAACACAUGCAAGUCGAGGGCAGCAUAAAAGUAGCAAUACUUGGUGGCGACCGGCGCACGGGUGAGUAACGCGUAUGCAACCUACCUAUCAGAGGGGAAUAACCCGGCGAAAGUCGGACUAAUACCGCAUAAAACAGGGACACCGCAUGGUGAUAUUUGUUAAAGAAAUUCGCUGAUAGAUGGGCAUGCGUUCCAUUAGGUAGUUGGUGAGGUAACGGCUCACCAAGCCGACGAUGGAUAGGGGAACUGAGAGGUUGGUCCCCCACACUGGUACUGAGACACGGACCAGACUCCUACGGGAGGCAGCAGUGAGGAAUAUUGGUCAAUGGGCGAGAGCCUGAACCAGCCAAGUCGCGUGAAAGGAAGAAGGAUCUAUGGUUCGUAAACUUCUUUUGCAGGGGAAUAAAGUGCAGGACGUGUCCUGUUUUGUAUGUACCCUGAGAAUAAGGAUCGGCUAACUCCGUGCCAGCAGCCGC